GACGGAGGAUGCAAGUGUUAUCCGGAAUCACUGGGCGUAAAGCGUCUGUAGGUGGUCAAAUAAGUCAACUGUUAAAUCUUGAGGCUCAACCUCAAAAUCGCAGUCGAAACUAUUCGACUAGAGUAUAGUAGGGGUAAAGGGAAUUUCCAGUGGAGCGGUGAAAUGCGUAGAUAUCCGGAAGAACACCGAUGGCGAAGGCAACCACCUGGGCCUGUACUGACGCUGAGGUACGAAAGCGUGGGGAGCAAACAGG
rnacentral:rRNA from 1 species